CAGCAGCCACGGGAAAACGAAGGGGGCUAGCGUUGCUCGGAAUGACUGGGCGUAAAGGGCGCGUAGGCGGCUGACACAGUCAGAUGUGAAAUUCCUGGGCUCAACCUGGGGACUGCAUUUGAGACGUGUUGGCUUGAGUGGAGAAGAGGGUCGUGGAGUUUCCAGUGUAGAGGUGAAAUUCGUAGAUAUUGGAAAGAACACCGGUGGCGAAGGCGGCGACCUGGUCUUUAACUGACGCUGAGGCGCGAAAGCGUGGGGAGCAAACAGGAUUAGAUACCCGCGUAGUCCCUGUCUCUUAUAC
rnacentral:rRNA from 1 species